rnacentral:misc_RNA from 1 species
GAUGAAGAACGUAGCGAAAUGCGAUACGUAAUGUGAAUUGCAGAAUUCAGUGAAUCAUCGAAUCUUUGAACGCAUAUUGCGCUCUCUGGUAUUCCGGAGAGCAUGCUUGUUUGAGUAUCAGUAAACACCUCAACUUCCAUAUCUUUUUUGAAAUGGGAGUUGGACUUGAGUGAUCCCAACGCUUUUCCUCACCGAAAAGUGGCGGGUUACUUGAAAUGCAGGUGCAGCUGGACUUUUCUCUGAGCUAUAAGCAUAUCUAUUUAGUCUGCCUAAAAAACAGAUUAUUCCCUUUGCUGCAGCUAACAUAAAGGAGAUUAGUUCUUGUGCUGACUGAUGCAGGAUUCACAAAGACAGGCUUCGGCCGACUUUGUAAACUCGAUCUCAAAUCAAGUAAGACUACCCGCUGAACUUAAGCAUAUCAAUAAGCGGAGGA